AUGAACGGCCGAGCCGGGAGGCUAGAGCAAGGAAGAGGUGGGCAAAGGGUGUGGCAACACUGGCCAAGUGGACGGCAUGGUAUUGUGUUUUUUCCUCUUGAUGAAGUUGAACUUCUUUCUGGACUGUUUACACAUCAUAGACUAAAGUGCCAAGAAUCAUUGGACUUCUUUCUGGACUCACACCAUUCCUUUAUACACAAGUAUGAUAUGUCUUGUGUUUAUUCUAUACUCAAGUACAAUAGUUUCAGAUACUUCUUUAAGUGCUUCCUAUUUCUCCCCUUCCUAUCUGAAGAAAUCUUCUGUUGUGAAACUGAAGCAAGAAGAUGUCAUGCUCAGCAAUGUUGA
rnacentral:rRNA from 1 species